rnacentral:rRNA from 1 species
AAGCGCUUGCAACCAGACUUGCAUGCGGUUGAUCAUCCGGUGUUCUCACCGGUGCACUUGACCGUGUACAGGCCAGCAUCGGUUCAGGUGGCGGGAUAAAGGCCUUGGGAAUGUAGCUUCUUUCGGGGAGUGUUAUAGCCCGUUGCAUAAUACCCUGCGGUGGACUGAGGACCGCGCAUCUGCAAGGAUGCUGGCGUAAUGGU